rnacentral:tRNA from 1 species
GGUUGUGGCUCAGGGAUAGAGCACAUCCCUAGGACAGGUGAGGCCCUGGGUUCAAUCCUCAGCGCCA